rnacentral:rRNA from 1 species
CCUACGGGAGGCAGCAGUGAGGAAUAUUGGUCAAUGGGCGUAAGCCUGAACCAGCCAAGUCGCGUGAGGGAUGAAGGUUCUAUGGAUCGUAAACCUCUUUUAUAAGGGAAUAAAGUGUGGGACGUGUCCUAUUUUGUAUGUACCUUAUGAAUAAGGAUCGGCUAACUCCGUGCCAGCAGCCGCGGUAAUACGGAGGAUCCGAGCGUUAUCCGGAUUUAUUGGGUUUAAAGGGUGCGUAGGCGGCCUUUUAAGUCAGCGGUGAAAGUCUGUGGCUCAACCAUAGAAUUGCCGUUGAAACUGGGGGGCUUGAGUAUGUUUGAGGCAGGUGGAAUGCGUGGUGUAGCGGUGAAAUGCGUAGAGAUCACGCAGAACACCGAUGGCGAAGGCAGCCUGCCAGGCGAUGACUGACGCUGAUGCACGAAAGCGUGGGGAUCAAACAGGAUUAGAUACCCUGGUAGUC